GACGAACGCUGGCGGCGUGCUUAACACAUGCAAGUCGAACGGAAAGGCCCUGCUUUUGUGGGGUGCUCGAGUGGCGAACGGGUGAGUAACACGUGAGUAACCUGCCCUUGACUUUGGGAUAACUUCAGGAAACUGGGGCUAAUACCGGAUAGGAGCUCCUGCUGCAUGGUGGGGGUUGGAAAGUUUCGGCGGUUGGGGAUGGACUCGCGGCUUAUCAGCUUGUUGGUGGGGUAGUGGCUUACCAAGGCUUUGACGAGUAGCCGGCCUGAGAGGGUGACCGGCCACAUUGGGACUGAGAUACGGCCCAGACUCCUACGGGAGGCAGCAGUGGCGAAUAUUGCACAAUGGGCGGAAGCCUGAUGCAGCAACGCCGCGUGCGGGAUGACGGCCUUCGGGUUGUAAACCGCUUUCGCCUGUGACGAAGCGUGAGUGACGGUAAUGGGUAAAGAAGCACCGGCUAACUACGUG
rnacentral:rRNA from 1 species